UUGAAUUACGAGGAGCUCUUAAGCAAGUAAAGUAAACAUCUUUUGGCAAUUUAGUGCUGCACUUUGAAGCCUGGCUGUGUCAUACAAAUGGUGAAAUAGCACGGACACCCUUCUGCUGGCUAGUUUGUUUAAUAUGCUAGAAUUCAGAUACCUUGCCUGAAAUCAUACUCUACCUUAAGUUUCUGUUGUCUGUUGUACUCACAUGGGGCACAAGGAUACCUCAAUUUUAGAGGCAAGGAAAAUGCAGAUAAUCUAACUCAAAACUUCUACCUGCAGGCCUUCCUUUAUAAUAUUCAUCUAUUCCGAGCAGUGUUUGACACUUCCUCCCCACCCACCCCCAUCAGAAAUCAGCUGUGGAUCCCCUUCUUCGUGCUUCUGCAGCCUGAAGAUGUCCCAUGGCCUGACCUGCAAGGAAGGCUGGAAGCAAGUCUCCACCCUCCGUGACUUCUCAGCUAAACACCAGAAUAAAUCAAAGCAAGGAAAGAGCAAAGAAGGAGGUGAAAUCUGGGCCCAGGGAGCAAAAGGAGAAGAGGAGGGGAACUCUGCAACAUCUGAAGGCACCCAGGAUGUAGCUAAGAGUAGGAAGAGCAGAAUGUUCGUUGUGAACUAGUUUUUACUGCAUCUCCACUGAGGGUGAAUUAGCCCCAUGAAGACCUUGCCCAUAUCCCUUCCCUUCCUUUCGUGGAGCACGGAGGUCAAUUUUGUCUCCACUGUAGUUGCAACAUCUGGAGAAAUUAGGGGAAGGCAGGUGGGACUGAAGUUCUCCACCACUAGCUCUAAACAGCAGCAGCGUGCCAGCGGGGUGCUGGCUAGGGUGAACUUCUCAGCUCGUUUAAGUCACCUGGAUGAACACUUCUCUAUCACAGAAGCCUUGGUCUUGCAGCUUCUGAGGGCAUCCUCCUGAGCGAUCACGGAGCUGGCAUGCUCAGCACCUUGCUGGAAACAACAGGAUUCAUUAGGAGAUCGCUCAGCCAUGUCUGCACAGUGCAAUUCCCAUCACGCUGGAUUUCUUCAAAGCAGGGUGUACAUCUGGCUGGAACAGCAGCAAAUCUCACCAUCAAAACUAAAGAAAAAAACCAAACCAAAACAAAACAGAGCCAGGGUGACAAAACUGGUCCAAAUUAAUUCAUUAUUUUUGUAAAAUUCUGUGUUGUCUUAGAAAUGCAAGCAGUGAUUAUGGACAUGAGACCAAGCAGAUCGCAGUGUUGAUGCUCUCAGCCAUUAGUUUAUAAAUUGAAUAAGAUAAAUGUGUUCAUUCAUAUGAACUAAUGUAGUUUUUCUUAUGAAGGUUUCAUAUUAUACAAAUCCAUUAGCAUAUUUACAAAUUAAUCUUCCCUUAGGAAGAAAAAAAGAUCAAAGAUUUACAGAAGGAAGUGCUUUAUUACUUUUAAACUGCCUUUUUUUUUCUUCAAAGAAAGAGAAAAAGAAAUGAAGGGAAAUUAUGUUGAACCAUAAAUGUUUCUUUAUGACUACUGUACAGCAGCUUUGUGGGAGAUUUAAAUUUACUAAAGGGCAAGGGGGACUUUAAGCCAUCUAUACGAGUUCAGUAUUAAAAAUAUAUAUACAUGACAGGUGCCCAUAUAAGUUCAUGCAGUACAAAAUAUUCCAUAAAUGAGCUCAUUUAUCUGAGUAAUUUAAAAAGAUCUUCUGCACAAGGGGAGAUAUUUAGUAUGAAUUAUAGUCCGUUUACCUUUCAUAAGUUUUUUCAUCACUUCCCAUACCUCCUUUGGUACUACUGAAAAUAUCUGUAGUUAUCAAGUGUUAUAUUCAACCUUGCUAUUCCCUAUUCCCAGGAAAGCCCUAUUGGUGAAGUGACUCCAUAUUCUCUUCAAGAAACAGAGUUUGUAAAGCCCUGUAUGCACGAUUAUUCCUUCUCCACAGAUGUGAGAUAAAACAAAAUCGGGCUAAGAAAUCUUUUAUCUAAGCAAAUAGCUUGAAUAAUAAAGAGUACUACAGGUAAAGAAAAAAAUCUGUAGGUUUGCCCUCAUCAUUUAGAUUCAAUUCUGUUGUAAAAAAUUCCUCUUUAUGUUUUCAGCACGACUUUGUACUAUGAUUGAAAAUACAGAGUAGUAGAGCAGCAAGGAAAUAAAAUGAGAUGCAAACCUUUAAUGAUUUAUUAAUAACCACUUUCUAAGACAUUUCUAACUACUAAAGAGAAAUCAGAACACUAAAUACAUUAAGAUCUUCAGAGGGGAGAAAUAAUGAAACUAUUGAAAAGUUAUAAAAAUACAGAAAAUUUCCAAGGGGAAAAAACACACCUGACAACCAAAUUGCAUUUUAGUUCUUGCUGCUCCUGCCUCGGGACAAAAGUUGGAACUGUAUGACCUCUGAAAUCUCUCACAGACAUAAGUUUUGUACUUCCAUGCUGAAAUAUUUGAAGAUAUUUUUCAAUGUACACCGUAUAAACUUAUAUACUUUUUUAGUAUUUUGUAUAAUCAUAGAAUGAUUUGGCUUGGAAGGUACCUUAAAGAUCAUCCAAUUUCACCCUGUGCCACAGGCAGGGACACCUCCCACUGGAUCAGGUUGCUCAAAGCCUCAUCCAACCUGGCCUUGAACACCUCCAGGAGGGGAAUAACCAUGAUUUUUCUGGGUGAUCUGUGGCAGUGCAUCACCAUUCUCAUAGGAAAACAUUUCCUCCUAGUAUCUAAUCUAAAUCUCCCUCCUUUCAGCUUAAAACCAUUCUUCCUUGUCCUGUCCCUGCACUCCCUGAUCCAGAGCCCCUCCCCAGCUUUCCCGUCGCCCCUUUCAGCACUGGAAGCUGCUCUAAGGUUUCCCCAGAGCCUUCUCUUCCCCAGGCUGCUCACCCCCAACUCCCCCAGUCUGUUCUCAGACAGGAGGUGCUCCAGCCCUUUGAGCAUCUUCAUAGCCUCCUCCUUCAUGGCAUCCACGCCCUUCCUGUGCUGAGGACCCUGGAACCAAACAGAGUCUCAUGAAAGCAGAGGGGCAGAAUCACCUCCUUCAACCUGCUGGUCACGCUUCUUUUGAAGACGUAUUUAGGAUAUAUUAAGAAACAAAAAUUUCAAAGACCUUCCACGGACUAAGGUUAAAUCACCGUUUAUCAACACAAUACUCACUUUCUCAUGGUCAUUGCACUCACUCAAAUAUAACUUUUUCCACUUCUUGGAAUUUCCUGAAAAAUCUGAUGUUACAAGGACCAUUACCUGGAUAACACCCUCCUCUCCUCCCCUUCGCUCCACACCUGACAAUGCAUAAAGCCUUUUCGCAGCAGGACAGCUGUGGUUUUAUUACACUGGAGUCAAGGGCACAAUGAAGCCAUGUACAGAGGUCGUGUACAUGAUUUUACAAGAUCUCAUGCCAGAAGAGAAAGAGGACCCCAGUAAACACAUUACUAACACAACAGAGAUUUAGACACAGUUUCAAAAACUCUACAUACACUCUUCACUGCUUUCAUCAGCUAAGGCCUAGCCUGAAGCCUACAUGUGGAACCAAACCAAAGGCGUUCUCCUCCCUAGCCCUCCUCUUCUGGAAAUCUUUUUCCCCUCCAUCCACACUCUACUCAUCUCCACACUGAGUUUAACUGUAAAACAAUUUCACGUUCUUCUGGUUUCAUUCAGGGAUGCUCUCCUUAAAUAACCAGCCAACUUCAUCUCUGUGCUCUUUUCCUCUGCUUUGCUGAAACUGUCAGAAGGAAACUCUCCAGAAGGUUUCUCUGUAAUAGUUAGAGGGGAAAUUCAGUGUCAAUUUUAGUUUUCCUACAGACAUUGCAUUUGGCUAUCAGAGUGUUCACAGUUAGCAAACCAUAACUCUUCAAUGUCUCAGCCUAUCCAUCUGGGAAAUCAAUAAAAGAUAAGACUAGCCAUGCUUCAGGGUUAUGAGGGUUGGCAAAUGUUUCUAAAGGUGCAAUGUUUUUAUA